AUACGUAGGGUGCGAGCGUUGUCCGGAAUUACUGGGCGUAAAGAGCUCGUAGGAGGUUUGUCGCGUCGUCUGUGAAAUUCCGGGGCUUAACUCCGGGCGUGCAGGCGAUACGGGCAUAACUUGAGUACUGUAGGGGAGACUGGAAUUCAUGGGGAAGCGGUGAAAUGCGCAGAUAUCAGGAGGAACACCGGUGGCGAAGGCGGGUCUCUGGGCAGUAACUGACGCUGAGGAUCGAAAGCAUGGGGAGCGAACAGGAUUAGAUACCCUGGUAGUCCAUGCCGUAAACGGUGGGCGCUAGGUGUAGGGGUCUUCCACGACUUCUGUGCCGUAGCUAACGCAUUAAGCGCCCCGCCUGGGGAGUACGGCCGCAAGGCUAAAACUCAAAUGAAUUGACGGGG
rnacentral:rRNA from 1 species